UGCCUAUGAUGAAAAACUAGAUAUUUUCUGACACCUCAUAUGAGAGCUAAAAACAGCUCAUGAUUCUAAUCAAGAAGACUGAGGCAC